rnacentral:rRNA from 1 species
AACGUAGGAGGCAAGCGUUAUCCGGAGUUACUGGGCGUAAAGCGUGCGUAGGCGGGUUGGUAAGUGGGGGGUGAAAGCGCUCGGCUAAACCGGGCGAGUGCCAUCCAGACUGCCAGUCUAGAGGCGGAUAGAGGGGUGCGGAAUUCCGGGUGUAGCGGUGAAAUGUGUAGAGAUCCGGAGGAACACCAGUGGUGCAAACGGCGCCCUGGGUCCGAACUGACGCUGAUGCACGAAAGCGUGGGGAGCGAACGGG